CAAUGAUUAAACUACUUCAGUGGCUGUCUUCUCAUGAAAUUGUUUGUCGCGUUAUCUGCGUUACUGAGUUGAGGCCGGGUUCUUUAUCAUUUCUUUUUCACUUCAGUUGUCUCUUCAAAAUGCUCUGGGUUCUUCAACUUGUUGCUUGGUAUUUGUUUUCCAACUGAUUUGUGUAUUCAAUGGCUUUUGUUUGUUGCGUUUUACUGUGUUUUGUAGGACCAAAUUCUCUUUUGAUUUUGCUUUAUCUAUUUUUUAGGUUUCGCUCCCAUUCAGGUGCGCUUUCACCCUGCUUUGAUCACCUCUUAGACCUGUUCCUUAUUUGUUUCUUUCAAUUUUAGAGCUGAUUCAAGUUUCUUUACUCUCCUUUCUGAAUCUGAACUUAAACUUUCUUGGGUGGUGUCUUUUACCCUGUUGUUAGAUGUUUUAGCCGGUUGAACCAGACCUUGGUAGUGUAUGGGAUUGUUUCCAGUUGCUAUAGGUUAAUAUAUGUGCCUUUUUUGUGCACAAUUCAUUUCACGAUUGGUUAUUGAUUUUGAAUUUCAUUUGGGCUCAUUUGGUCAUUGAUGAUUUUGCAGGAAAAUUUAUUCUGGUAGGGUUCAGAUAUCCAUUUUUUUAUGUCAUGGCAGAUGCUGAGUUUGAAAGACAGGUGAGAGUACUUAUAUCUGUAUAUAUUGAUGUAUGUUUACAAGUGAGCUAGAAGAAAUAUUAGAGAUGAUUGUUAUGGAUGAGCUUCAAAAGAUCACAGUCUCACAAUUUCAGCAAAUAAGAUGCUGCCUCAAUAGCUCCCAUUCUCAGGCCCUGUUAUGGAAUUACAAAUUUUGUGAUGAUAGAAGUCUGUUCUUCAGCAGCUUCUACUGAUGUUGUUGGCAAGAUAGGUCAGUUUGACUAUCAAGAUAGUAUUGCUUUGGGCGCUUGGCUGCUGAUUAAUUGGCUUUUCCAACUCUUCCAUUGUUUUGGAUUGGUCAAAUGGAUACGAAAGAUAGCCAAAGUGACCAUUUUCCUUGCGAAGAUUCUUUCCUUGCGUGCUAUUUUUCUUGCAAGGAUUGCAAGAAGAAACAAAUAAAAAUUGUAUUUUGCUACAGACCAGGUACAAAAUCUUGGUGAUUUCCAGUCUUUUUACAUAGCAUUGUAAGAAACAACUACUUUCUAGGUUAGUUUUAUCAUGUUCAUGACUGUACAUAAAAAGUGACGGGUUUAUUCUUUUUUAUUAUCCUAGCUAGGUUCUGGGUAGGGGUCAAAGCCAGUUUUGCAAGUGAUUCUGCAAUUUGCACUCAUCAUGUUUGAUAGAGAGACUAGGAUAGUGCUUUAGCCACCAUUUUUUUUUAUAGAUUCAGUGCUAAUAUUCCAUCCCAGUUGAAGAAGUUGAUUGGCACAAGGCAAAUUUAUCAGCUAAGAUUGAAAGAAGAGAACCUGAAGGAUGGCCGAGCUGGACUGUCAAAAAAACAUUUGACAUGAAUUCCAUCUUGGAAAGGAAAGAUGCUUGCUCGCAAGACCUGUUAGCAUGAAAUUAUCUUAUCUGUAUCUAAAUAAAUAGGCCAUGAUAAUUCUUGAAUCUCGAAAACGAAUAAUUUUAUUGUGACUGUUGUGAACACCAUAGUCAAUAAUGAUGUCAAUCUCGAAACUCUAUUUUAUUUUUUUA